UUGUUAAGGAGAGGACUUGAACCUCUGUGUAAAGGGUUUAGGGCUUUUGCAGUUUCCGGGCUCUGCCACCUUAACA
rnacentral:tRNA from 1 species